rnacentral:rRNA from 1 species
UACAGAGGUGGCAAGCGUUGUUCGGAAUUACUGGGCGUAAAGGGCGCGUAGGCGGCCAUCUAAGUCAGACGUGAAAUCCCCCGGCUUAACCUGGGAACUGCGUCUGAUACUGGAAGGCUUGAGUAUGGGAGAGGGAUGUAGAAUUCCAGGUGUAGCGGUGAAAUGCGUAGAUAUCUGGAGGAAUACCGGUGGCGAAGGCGGCAUCCUGGACCGACACUGACGCUGAGGCGCGAAAGCUAGGGUAGCAAACGGG